rnacentral:rRNA from 1 species
UGAUGGCGAGUGGCGAACGGGUGAGUAACGCGUAGGAAUAUACCUUAAAGAGGGGGACAACCUGGGGAAACUCAGGCUAAUACCGCAUAAUUUCUUAGGAAAAAAGCUGGGGACCUUCGGGCCUGGCGCUUUAAGAUUAGCCUGCGUACGAUUAGCUAGUUGGUAGGGUAAAGGCCUACCAAGGCGACGAUCGUUAGCUGGUCUGAGAGGAUGAUCAGCCACACUGGGACUGAGACACGGCCCAGACUCC